UACGGAGGGUGCAAACGUUGCUCGGAAUCAUUGGGCGUAAAGCGCACGUAGGCGGUCUGCUAUGUCGGGUGUGAAAUCCCUCGGCUUAACCGAGGAAGUGCAUUCGAAACUGGCAGACUUGAAUACUCAAGAGGGUCUCGGAAUUCCCGGUGUAGAGGUGAAAUUCGUAGAUAUCGGGAGGAACACCAGUGGCGAAGGCGGAGGCCUGGGGAGAUAUUGACGCUGAGGUGCGAAAGCGUGGGGAGCAAACAGG
rnacentral:rRNA from 1 species